UAGAGUUUGAUCCUGGCUCAGAAUCAACGCUGGCGGCGUGCCUAACACAUGCAAGUCGAACGCGAAAGGGGCUUCGGCCCUGAGUAGAGUGGCGAACGGGUGAGUAACACGUGGGUGAUCUACCUUCGAGUGGGGGAUAACGUCCCGAAAGGGACGCUAAUACCGCAUGACGUUCCUGAACCAAAGCUGGGGACCGCAAGGCCUGGCGCUUGAAGAGGAGCCCGCGUCCGAUUAGCUAGUUGGCGGGGUAAUGGCCCACCAAGGCGACGAUCGGUAGCCGGCCUGAGAGGGCGGACGGCCACACUGGGACUGAGACACGGCCCAGACUCCUACGGGAGGCAGCAGUGGGGAAUUGUUCGCAAUGGGCGAAAGCCUGACGACGCAACGCCGCGUGGGGGAUGAAGGUCUUCGGAUUGUAAACCCCUGUCGAGCGGGACGAAAAGCUCGUGCCUGAACAUGGUGCGGGAUUGACGGUACUGCUAAAGGAAGCCACGGCUAACUCUGUGCCAGCAGCCGCGGUAAUACAGAGGUGGCAAGCGUUGUUCGGAAUUACUGGGCGUAAAGGGCGCGUAGGCGGCCAUCUAAGUCAGACGUGAAAUCCCUUGGCUUAACCAAGGAACUGCGUCUGAGACUGGACGGCUGGAGUGUGGGAGAGGGAUGUAGAAUUCCAGGUGUAGCGGUGAAAUGCGUAGAUAUCUGGAGGAAUACCGGUGGCGAAGGCGGCAUCCUGGACCAUGACUGACGCUGAGGCGCGAAAGCUAGGGUAGCAAACGGGAUUAGAUACCCCGGUAGUCCUAGCCCUAAACGAUGAAUGCUUGGUGUGGCGGGUAUCGAUCCCUGCCGUGCCGAAGCUAACGCAUUAAGCAUUCCGCCUGGGGAGUACGGUCGCAAGGCUGAAACUCAAAGGAUUGACGGGGGCCCGCACAAGCGGUGGAGCAUGUGGAUUUAUUCGACGCAACGCGAAGAACCUUACCUGGGCUCGAAAUGCAGAUGACAUCCGGCGAAAGUCGGCUCCCGCAAGGCGUCUGUAUAGGUGCUGCAUGGCUGUCGUCAGCUCGUGUCGUGAAGAUGUUGGGUUAGUU
rnacentral:rRNA from 1 species